UACGUAGGUGGCGAGCGUUUGUCCGGAUUUAUUGGGCGUAAAGAGCGUGUAGGCGGCCUUACAGGUCAGCUGUGAAAACUCGAGGCUCAACCUCGAGACGUCGGUUGAAACCGUAAGACUAGAGUCCGGAAGAGGAGAAUGGAAUUCCUGGUGUAGCGGUGAAAUGCGCAGAUAUCAGGAAGAACACCCGUGGCGAAGGCGGUUCUCUGGGACGGUACUGACGCUGAGACGCGAAAGCGUGGGGAGCGAACAGG
rnacentral:rRNA from 1 species